AGUGAACGCUGGCGGUAGGCCUGACACAUGCAAGUCGAACGGCAGCACAGAGGAGCUUGCUCCUUGGGUGGCGAGUGGCGGACGGGUGAGGAAUACAUCGGAAUCUACUCUGUCGUGGGGGAUAACGUAGGGAAACUUACGCUAAUACCGCAUACGACCUACGGGUGAAAGCAGGGGAGCUUCGGACCUUGCGCGAUUGGAUGAGCCGAUGUCGGAUUAGCUAGUUGGCGGGGUAAAGGCCCACCAAGGCGACGAUCCGUAGCCGGUCUGAGAGAAUGAUCAGCCACACUGGAACUGAGACACGGUCCAGACUCCUACGGGAGGCAGCAGUGGGGAAUAUUGGACAAUGGGCGCAAGCCUGAUCCAGCCAUACCGCGUGGGUGAAGAAGGCCUUCGGGUUGUAAAGCCCUAUUGUUGGAAAAGAAAUCCAUCUGGUUAAUACCCGGGUGGGAUGACGGUACCCAAAGAAUAAGCACCGGCUAACUUCGUGCCAGCCGCCGCUGUAA
rnacentral:rRNA from 1 species